rnacentral:lncRNA from 1 species
ACAAAGUUAAAUGUGCGAUACAAAUUACAAAUAAAUAAAUAAAUAACUCAAAUCGCGAUUCUAUUAAACAUGAAGGGACCUGCCGAAUAAAUAGACCAAACGAUCCUUCACGCGCGGAUCCUUCCCAGAUCGGGUCACCGUUCGGAUCGGGUCUUCAAACAACACUGUUUCAGAGCCAUUGUAUUGGCUCUAAACGACCG